rnacentral:rRNA from 1 species
UACGGGGGAUGCAAGCGUUAUCCGGAAUCAUUGGGCGUAAAGCGCCUGUAGGUUGUUUAAUAAGUCUGUUGUUAAAGACUAGGGCUUAACCCUAGAAAAGCAAUGGAAACUAUUAGACUAGAGUAUGGCAGGGGUAGAGGGAAUUUCUAGUGUAGCGGUGAAAUGCGUAGAUAUUAGAAAGAACACCAGCGGCGAAAGCGCUCUACUGGACCAUUACUGACACUCAGAGGCGAAAGCUAGGGUAGCAAAAGGGAUUAGAUACCCCUGUAGUCCUAGCCGUAAACGAUGGAUACUAGAUGUUGUAUUUAUUUUACAGUAUCGUAGCUAACGCGUUAAGUAUCCCGCCUGGGGAGUACGCUCGCAAGGGUG